AGUGUUCAAGAGGCUGAUGGUGGCUGGAAGGAGGCUGUUCUUGAACUUAGAGAUCACAGUUUUCAGGCUCCUGUACUUUCUUCCCAGUGGUAGCAGCGACAUGAGAG